GAUGAACGCUAGCUACAGGCUUAACACAUGCAAGUCGAGGGGAAACGCCAUCGAAAGCUUGCUUUUGAUGGGCGGCGACCGGCGCACGGGUGAGUAACGCGAAUCCAACCUGCGCACCACUUGGGGAUAACCUUGCGAAAGUAAGACUAAUACCCAAUGACGUCUCUAGAAUACAUCUGAAAGAGAUGGAAGAUUUAUCGGUGAUGGAUGGGGAUGCGUCUGAUUAGCUUGUUGGCGAGGUAACGGCCCACCAAGGCGACGAUCAGUAGGUGUCCUGAGAGUCAGCUCCACUAGAUUGGAACCGCGACCCUGGCCCCUACGGUAGGGAGCAGAGCAGUAAGGACCGCUAGGGGAGGGACGAUGGCCUAACACCGCCAAGUAGCGUGCAGGAUUCCGGCGCUCUGGGUUGUCAACUGCUUUUAAAAAAGAAUAGAGUGAGUCUCGGGAGACUUUUUGACGGUACCUUAUGAAUAAGCACCGGCUAACUACGUG
rnacentral:rRNA from 1 species